rfam:Nomascus leucogenys chromosome 21, whole genome shotgun sequence.
ACUGGGUGUGGUGGUGUGCACCUGUCAUCCCAGCUACUUGGGAGGCUGAGACAGGAGGAUCUUUUGAGCCCAAGAGGUCUGGGCUGUAGAGCAGUAUGGCAGUUGGGUGUCCACACUAAGUUCAGCAACAGUGUGAUGACCUCCUGGAAGCAAGGACCACCAUGUUGCCUAAGGAGGGGUGAAUUGGCCCAGGUUGGAAACAGAGUAGGUCAAAACUCCCAUGCUGAUCAGUAGUGGGAUAGUGCCUGUGAAUAGCCAUUACGCUCCGGCCUGGGCAAUGAAAAAAAAUGUGUAUUUU